UGAAUCACUGGUUCCCGUACGAUCACAGAAGUUAAGCAAGGUCGGCCCUGCUCAGUACCUAGAUUGGUGACCGCUUGA